rnacentral:rRNA from 1 species
UUUAUGGAGAGUUUGAUCCUGGCUCAGGACGAACGCUGGCGGCGUGCUUAACACAUGCAAGUCGAACGGAAAGGCCUAGCUUGCUAGGUACUCGAGUGGCGAACGGGUGAGUAACACGUGGGUGAUCUGCCUCGUACUUCGGGAUAAGCCUGGGAAACUGGGUCUAAUACUGGAUAGGACCAUGCUUUAGUGUGUGUGGUGGAAAGUUUUUCGGUACGAGAUGAGCCCGCGGCCUAUCAGCUUGUUGGUGGGGUAAUGGCCUACCAAGGCGUCGACGGGUAGCCGGCCUGAGAGGGUGGACGGCCACAUUGGGACUGAGAUACGGCCCAGACUCCUACGGGAGGCAGCAGUGGGGAAUAUUGCACAAUGGGCGCAAGCCUGAUGCAGCGACGCCGCGUGGGGGAUGACGGCCUUCGGGUUGUAAACCUCUUUCGCUAGGGACGAAGCUUUUGUGACGGUACCUAGAUAAGAAGCACCGGCUAACUACGUGCCAGCAGCCGCGGUAAUACGUAGGGUGCGAGCGUUGUCCGGAAUUACUGGGCGUAAAGAGCUCGUAGGUGGUUUGUCGCGUCGUCUGUGAAAUUCCGGGGCUUAACUCCGGGCGUGCAGGCGAUACGGGCAUAACUUGAGUGCUGUAGGGGAGACUGGAAUUCCUGGUGUAGCGGUGGAAUGCGCAGAUAUCAGGAGGAACACCGAUGGCGAAGGCAGGUCUCUGGGCAGUAACUGACGCUGAGGAGCGAAAGCAUGGGGAGCGAACAGGAUUAGAUACCCUGGUAGUCCAUGCCGUAAACGGUGGGCGCUAGGUGUGAGGGUCUUCCACGACUUUCGUGCCGUAGCUAACGCAUUAAGCGCCCCGCCUGGGGAGUACGGCCGCAAGGCUAAAACUCAAAGGAAUUGACGGGGGCCCGCACAAGCGGCGGAGCAUGUGGAUUAAUUCGAUGCAACGCGAAGAACCUUACCUGGGCUUGACAUAUGCAGGAUCGGCGUAGAGAUACGUUUUCCCUUGUGGUCUGUAUACAGGUGGUGCAUGGUUGUCGUCAGCUCGUGUCGUGAGAUGUUGGGUUAAGUCCCGCAACGAGCGCAACCCUUGUCUUAUGUUGCCAGCAUGUUAUGGUGGGGACUCAUGAGAGACUGCCGGGGUUAACUCGGAGGAAGGUGGGGAUGACGUCAAAUCAUCAUGCCCCUUAUGUCCAGGGCUUCACACAUGCUACAAUGGUCGGUACAACGCGCUGCGAGCCUGUGAGGGUGAGCGAAUCGCUGAAAGCCGGCCUCAGUUCGGAUUGGGGUCUGCAACUCGACCCCAUGAAGUCGGAGUCGCUAGUAAUCGCAGAUCAGCAACGCUGCGGUGAAUACGUUCCCGGGCCUUGUACACACCGCCCGUCACGUCAUGAAAGUUGGUAACACCCGAAGCCAGUGGCCUAACCUUUGUGGGAGGAGCUGUCGAAGGUGGGAUCGGCGAUUGGGACGAAGUCGUAACAAGGUAGCCGUACCGGAAGGUGCGGCUGGAUCACCUCCUUUCUAAGGAG